rnacentral:lncRNA from 1 species
UUAUUUCAUAAACGGAAACGUAAUAAUAACCUCCAAACAACACAGAGAUAGGAUAGCAAAUAUAGGAUUAUAUUUACACUAAACAUACAUAUUUUUACAAGAGUGUUUACACACAUAAAAGUCUAGCAUGACAAGGAUCUGUUUCAAAAAGGAGAGCUUCUAGGCUAUCUAUGCUCCGAACUCCUCGUCCAUGGGAACAGGGUCCUAGGCGAUCCCGUCAGACUUAUCGAUAACAAAAGCGUAAGUUGUCACCCAGUGUCCAAACUAGAUGGAAGACCCAUCGACUCCUGACAGAAACUAAACUAAGACCUAACUUUCACUUCCUUCGACUCCCUGUACUCCUCUUGAAAAUCCUCCAUCUAAGGACUUGAAAUAUUUUAGCCCACAACGGGGUGAGAUUACAUCUCAGCGAGUUAAUCCCCUAAAUCCCGAGUAGGAGAAGGGUACACUCUACAUGCAACCUAGUCACGUUUCUCAACUUUUAAAAUAUCAACAUUUUCCUGUACGUUAGUGUCAAUCAAAUCAUACAUAACAGUAUCGAGUUCACACAUCAUAUGAAUACCUUAACAUGAGUAUAUGCAAAGACAUAAAUAUCAAUGUAAGCAUACGGGCCAUAGUUAAUGCAAUAAAUAACAGUCUUCUGGCAUAACCGGGCAUCGUCUUGCAUCGUCGAGCAUGGCAAUGUCUAUACUCAGACGGCAUUCCGAUUAGGAGUAUCGGUCCGGCAUCCACUACGACCGGCAUCCGUUGACUUGGGGCAUUCCCGAAGGAGCAUCGUCCGGCCCCAAAGGCUUGUGACGGAUUCUCAAGUAGCAUAUGUAAUUUUGUUCCAUUUCAUCAUCCAACAAUUAGUUGUGUAUAUCAGCCAUAUCACCAAAUAAGCAAAUUUCCAACAAAUAUGUCAUCAAAACCAAUCACACGUUACUAGCUAUUUUAACCGGUAAAACUACCUAUUUGCGCACUUCAGAAUUUAGCACCAGAAAUCAACUUAGAUGAAUUCGAAAAAUUCUCAAACUUGGACAUGUGACAAAGAACAUGUAAAAAAAUAAUUUUCAUAAAGACACUGAGGCCCAGAUCCCUUUGGAUUCGGCCUAGUAAUUCCCUCAACCCAGCACCAAAACCGGUUCCUUUUCCAGCGAGUCUGUUUUCCGAAAUCAGCUUAAAUCGGGGUCCGAAAUAGGUCCGUUUAAUUUGAAAUUUGAGUAUGUUAAAUUAGAAGAUAUAAUGAAUAACUUUUGUGAAGAAACCAUAUGAAAAUUCGAACCCUAAGGAUCCGCAAAGACCCGUAAAAUCCUUACAGGUCAGGAUUUACAGUGCAGUCCGACUUUCUAUUUAUAGCUAACGGAGCUAAAAUCGUAUUCUUUUUAAUUCCUAAAAAUCCUGAGAAAAUUAUAUGUUAUAAUUAAAGGUGUCUAAAACAUUUCCUUAGAAUAAAUUCACUUCAAAAUCGCAACACAUCUCUGUCUACAAAAAUAACAAACUGCACACGUCUAGCAAUCAAUUAUGGAGCACAGUUUCUGUUCUUAGCCAAAUUGUCUUCUACAGUGUUGAUCUUGUUAUGUAAACGAAAACUAAGCCAUUCUAUGGCUAAUAUAACCUUUCUAAACUAACACUAAACUAUAUUUAAUCUCAUCUAAACCUUUCUUAGCUAAUUUCAACUCCUCAAUAGAGGUACAUAGCCCCUAUUCUAGUUUUAGGAAAACAACUCACCAACGCUAAAACCACGCAUUUCUUGUGCCGGUGAUGAGGUCUCCACUCCAAGAGGUGCUGGGAUACCUCAAGAUGGCUCUUCUCAGGUCGGCGAGGCUCUCGGCCUACUGCUGAGAAGCCGAUUCCUCAGCUGAGUCGGACCGAGCAGGAACAGCAGGGGUUUCUUGGAGGCGAGGCGGCGAGUGUUUUGCUCGAACGGGGGGUUGCACCGGCGAGGGAGGAGUCCUAACAGCGAGACAGCAGCAACAGCGAAUUGGGGGCUGCCUCCGGUGAGGAUGGUGAGCUGAAACCGUAGAAGGAUGGGUUGUUGGUUGGCGGGGACAAUUGUGGAAGGAGCUGUUCAGUUUUUGGUACAAAAAAGCAGGAGUUAUGCAAUUUUUGGAGGACUCAGAGCUUGUUGGUGACAAUGGUUCGUCCUCAAAUAAAGGCCACAACCAAGAAAAACGAAGCAUGGAGGUAGUUGGGUCGAAGCUUCUAUGGGUCUAGAAAAUUUGUAACGUCAAGACCACGCCUUCCUCUGUUUUCUUGUUGUUGGUUUGUCGUCUAAGGGGAAAUAGGGGAGGCCGAAUAUCCUAGUGUAAAGAAGAAGAAGACAAGGCUUUUU